rnacentral:rRNA from 1 species
UACGAAGGGGGCUAGCGUUGCCCGGAAUCACUGGGCGUAAAGCGCACGUAGGCGGCUUUUUAAGUCAGAGGUGAAAUCCUGGAGCUCAACUCCAGAACUGCCUUUGAUACUGAGAAGCUUGAGUCCGGGAGAGGUGAGUGGAACUGCGAGUGUAGAGGUGAAAUUCGUAGAUAUUCGCAAGAACACCAGUGGCGAAGGCGGCUCACUGGCCCGGUACUGACGCUGAGGUGCGAAAGCGUGGGGAGCAAACAGG